rnacentral:rRNA from 1 species
GUACACAAAAAUGCACAUGCUGUGAGCUCGAUGAGUAGGGCGGGACACGUGGUAUCCUGUCUGAAUAUGGGGGGACCAUCCUCCAAGGCUAAAUACUCCUGACUGACCGAUAGUGAACCAGUACCGUGAGGGAAAGGCGAAAAGAACCCCGGCGAGGGGAGUGAAAAAGAACCUGAAACCGUGUACGUACAAGCAGUGGGAGCACGCUUAGGCGUGUGACUGCGUACCUUUUGUAUAAUGGGUCAGCGACUUAUAUUCUGUAGCAAGGUUAACCGAAUAGGGGAGCCGAAGGGAAACCGAGUCUUAACUGGGCGUUAAGUUGCAGGGUAUAGACCCGAAACCCGGUGAUCUAGCCAUGGGCAGGUUGAAGGUUGGGUAACACUAACUGGAGGACCGAACCGACUAAUGUUGAAAAAUUAGCGGAUGACUUGUGGCUGGGGGUGAAAGGCCAAUCAAACCGGGAGAUAGCUGGUUCUCCCCGAAAGCUAUUUAGGUAGCGCCUCGUGAAUUCAUCUCCGGGGGUAGAGCACUGUUUCGGCAAGGGGGUCAUCCCGACUUACCAACCCGAUGCAAACUGCGAAUACCGGAGAAUGUUAUCACGGGAGACACACGGCGGGUGCUAACGUCCGUCGUGAAGAGGGAAACAACCCAGACCGCCAGCUAAGGUCCCAAAGUCAUGGUUAAGUGGGAAACGAUGUGGGAAGGCCCAGACAGCCAGGAUGUUGGCUUAGAAGCAGCCAUCAUUUAAAGAAAGCGUAAUAGCUCACUGGUCGAGUCGGCCUGCGCGGAAGAUGUAACGGGGCUAAACCAUGCACCGAAGCUGCGGCAGCGACGCUGAUGCGUUGUUGGGUAGGGGAGCGUUCUGUAAGCCUGCGAAGGUGUGCUGUGAGGCAUGCUGGAGGUAUCAGAAGUGCGAAUGCUGACAUAAGUAACGAUAAAGCGGGUGAAAAGCCCGCUCGCCGGAAGACCAAGGGUUCCUGUCCAACGUUAAUCGGGGCAGGGUGAGUCGACCCCUAAGGCGAGGCCGAAAGGCGUAGUCGAUGGGAAACAGGUUAAUAUUCCUGUACUUGGUGUUACUGCGAAGGGGGGACGGAGAAGGCUAUGUUGGCCGGGCGACGGUUGUCCCGGUUUAAGCGUGUAGGCUGGUUUUCCAGGCAAAUCCGGAAAAUCAAGGCUGAGGCGUGAUGACGAGGCACUACGGUGCUGAAGCAACAAAUGCCCUGCUUCCAGGAAAAGCCUCUAAGCAUCAGGUAACAUCAAAUCGUACCCCAAACCGACACAGGUGGUCAGGUAGAGAAUACCAAGGCGCUUGAGAGAACUCGGGUGAAGGAACUAGGCAAAAUGGUGCCGUAACUUCGGGAGAA